rnacentral:rRNA from 1 species
CGCUGGCGGCGUGCUUAACACAUGCAAGUCGAACGGAAAGGCCCUGCUUUUGUGGGGUGCUCGAGUGGCGAACGGGUGCGUAACACGUGAGUAACCUGCCCUUGACUUUGGGAUAACUUCAGGUAACUGGGGCUAAUACCGGAUCGGAGCUCCUGCUGCAUGGUGGGGGUUGGAAAGUUUCGGCGGUUGGGGAUGGACUCGCGGCUUAUCAGCUUGUUGGUGGGGUAGUGGCUUACCAAGGCUUUGACGGGUAGCCGGCCUGAGAGGGUGACCGGCCACAUUGGGACUGAGAUACGGCCCAGACUGCUACGGGAGGCAGCAGUGGGGAAUAUUGCACAAUGGGAGGAAGCCUGAUGCAGAAAAGCCGCGUGCGGGAUGACGGCCUUCGGGUUGUAAACCGAUUUCGCCUGUGACGAAGCGUGAGUGACGGUAAUGGGUAAAGAAGCACCGGCUAACUACGUG